GUGUCAGCAGCCGCGGUACUACGGAGGGUGCAAGCGUUAUCCGGAUUUAUUGGGUUUAAAGGGUCCGCAGGCGGACUUGUAAGUCAGUGGUGAAAGCCUUCAGCUUAACUGGAGAAUUGCCAUUGAUACUGCUGGUCUUGAGUUCGGUUGAAGUGGGCGGAAUAUGUAGUGUAGCGGUGAAAUGCAUAGAUAUUACAUAGAACACCUAUUGCGAAGGCAGCUCACUAAGCCGAUACUGACGCUCAGGGACGAAAGCGUGGGGAGCGAACAGGAUUAGAUACCCUGGUAGUCCACGCUGUAAACGAUGAUAACUCGCUGUUGGCGAUAUACUGUCAGCGGCCAAGCGAAAGCGUUAAGUUAUCCACCUGGGGAGUACGAUCGCAAGGUUGAA
rnacentral:rRNA from 1 species